rnacentral:tRNA from 1 species
GGUGGUGUAGCUCAGAGGUGGAGCACUCGACUAGCAAGCACAAAGCCCUGGGUUGGAUCCCCAGCACCACAG